rnacentral:rRNA from 1 species
CUACGGGACGCAGCAGUGGGGAAUAUUGGACAAUGGGGGAAACCCUGAUCCAGCGACGCCGCGUGACUGAAGAAGUAUUUCGGUAUGUAAAGGUCUAUCAGCAGGGAAGAAAAUGACGGUACCUGACUAAGAAGCCCCGGCUAACUACGUGCCAGCAGCCGCGGUAAUACGUAGGGGGCAAGCGUUAUCCGGAUUUACUGGGUGUAAAGGGAGCGUAGACGGCGAUGCAAGUCUGAAGUGAAAGCCCGGGGCUCAACCCCGGGACUGCUUUGGAAACUGUGUUGCUAGAGUGCAGGAGAGGUAAGUGGAAUUCCUAGUGUAGCGGUGAUAUGCGUAGAUAUUAGGAGGAACACCAGUGGCGAAGGCGGCUUACUGGACUGUAACUGACGUUGAGGCUCGAAAGCGUGGGGAGCGAACAGGAUUAGAUACCCCGGUAGUC